AGGAAAUUGCAAUAAAGGAAUAAACACAUAACCACUUGCCUUAAAAAGCCAUGAUGCAAACAUUCUGAGUGGUGGAAUCAAAAGUGGAGGAGACGGAGAAGACUGGUUAUCCAGGCUUAUUGCUAGAUUAUCCCGUAUCUAAUUCACAAAGAGGAGAAUUUCAGGGAGGCUGAGGCAGAAGAACUGCUUGAACCCAGGAGGCGGAGGGUGCAGUGAGCUGAGAUCCGGCCACUGGAUUCCAGCCUGAGUGAGAGCAAGGCUCCGUCUCAAAAACAAUUAUGAUCCUGUUGCAAAUAUUGGCUAUUUCUAUGAAUAGUGAUGUGCAUUUUCUUGUUUGUAUUUUUCUACAUUUUUCAAAUUUUGUACAGUACAAUCAGUAUCGCAUUUAUAAAGAGAAUAACCAGAACUACUUAACAUCUUAUAUUUAAUAUCCUAUAACAAUAUUCUACU